GGCGAGGUAGCAAAGAGGUUAUGCAACGGCUUGCAACGCCGUCGAGACAGGUUCGAUUCCUGUCCUCGCCU
rnacentral:tRNA from 1 species